rnacentral:rRNA from 1 species
GACGAACGCUGGCGGCGUGCUUAACACAUGCAAGUCGAACGGAAAGGCCUCUUUCGGGGGGUACUCGAGUGGCGAACGGGUGAGUAACACGUGAGUAACCUGCCCUUGACUUUGGGAUAACUUCAGGAAACUGGGGCUAAUACCGGAUAGGAGCUCCUGCUGCAUGGUGGGGGUUGGAAUGUUUCUGCGGUUGGGGAUGGACUCGCGGCUUAUCAGCUUGUUGGUGGGGUAGUGGCUUACCAAGGCUUUGACGGGUAGCCGGCCUGAGAGGGUGACCGGCAACAUUGGGACUGGGAUACGGCCCAGACUCCUACGGGAGGCAGCAGUGGGGAAUAUUGCUCAAUGGGUGGAAGCCUGAUGCAGCAACGCCGUGUGCGGGAUGACGGUCUUCGGGUUGGAAACCGAUUUCGCUCAUGACGAAGCUUUGUGUGACGGUAGUGGGUAAAGAAGCACCGGCUAACUACGUG